UCGGUGGCGGCGUCAGCGGGGUGGAACAGUGGAAGGGGUGACGGUCGACGCGCGGUCGCUCCGUCGGCGCUCCGUCGAUUCGUCCGUCGUCGGUGCGGCGGGACGGACGCACGAGCGCCCGCCAACGGUUCGCGCGGGGGUGGGUGGGGUCUGUAGGGGUUGCGGACUCGUUGCGGGCCGCUGCCGUCGAGGCGUCGUUGUCGUGUCCCGUCACUGUUUUAUAAAGUAUAACCGCCGGCGCGGCCUGUCCAUUUCGCGUGCCGUCGCGCCAUCGUCCUGUGUGCGCCGAUCAUUCCGCCGCGGUGACCCGCACUUACAUAAUACUAUCAUUAUUAUUUAACACUACAAGUCAACUCGGUCUGUAAUAGGUAUUGCUUAUUAUUACGUUCAAAAUUUGUUCGGUCAUAUUCCUAAAUUGUAUUUAACCGUGGACUCGAGUACUGUACGACGAGCACUGAGGAACAUGUCAAGUAGGGAUGUCAUUCGCUCCGAUAUAUACCUAUUCGUGUUAGUGAUCAUUGUUGCAAUUUUUUGUGAUUUUCCAAACAGACAGCCAAAAGGACAUUUUCUUCUACAGAUUAAUUACUUGCAGUCUGUAGACGCUAGCUCUAAAUGAUUUUGAUUGUUGCUCAGAAAGCCUUUCAUAUAAUGUACGAUGGCUUUCUAGCAAUAAUCAUGACCACAAAAGAGCAUAUAUCUACUUCAACAUUACCUAUCUGUUGUAAUCCACCUACAGCGACUGUAUACAGACUAUAGACGUAUAAGCUAAUGGACAGCGCUUUUCACUCCACGCUACCUUCAAGGCUUGGUGACUAAGUAAAUGAGAGAGAAACAACACAAUGUACCUAGUAUUCUGUAUUAGUAAAUUAUGGACGAAUUAUUUCAUCCCACAUAACUAUUUAACUUUUUUCUUUUCAUUUCCUUUAUCAAGCAUAGGCAUUGUCUAAAUGCAUUGUAUAAAUCACAGAUGUAAUACAAAACAACAAGAUAGUCGACCCAGUGGCGUAGCCAGGCGAGGGACUGAGGGGGCUUCAGCCACCCCAAAAUGUUGAGAAAAUAUGAAAAUUAUUUUAAUGGUCUAUGAUAGUCGCUCAAAAAGUCUUAAAUUGUAUUUAAAAUAUUCAAAAAUAUACUACAAGUAUUAAUACUUUUUAACUAUCUAUCUGUGCUAGUACGUAUUUAAUGUGUACAAGAGUAAAAGUUGAUCUGGCCCCCCCGAAAAAAAAUCUUGGCUACGCCACUGAGCCGACCCUCUAUAUUAGUAUAUUAUACAAUUGUACAUGAUGCCGCCACUUGUCACUC